rnacentral:rRNA from 1 species
UAUGUGAUCGUCUCUCGCAUAUCAAUAAGCGGAGGAAAAGAAACUAACAAGGAUUCCCCUAGUAACGGCGAGUGAAGCGGGAAGAGCUCAAAUUUGAAAUCUUAAAGGGUUUCCCUUUACGAAUUGUAGUUUAAAGAAGUGUUUUCUGUUGAGGUUUUGGUAAAAGUUCUUUGGAAUAGGACAUCAUAGAGGGUGAGAAUCCCGUAUUUGACCUCUACUUUCAACUUUGUGAUACACUUUCAAAGAGUCGGAUUGUUUGGGAAUGCAGUCCAAAAUGGGUGGUAAAUUUCAUCUAAAGCUAAAUAUUGGCGAGAGACCGAUAGCGAACAAGUACCGUGAGGGAAGGAUGAAAAGAACUUUGAAAAGAGAGUUAAACAGUACGUGAAAUUGUCAAAAGGGAAGCGUUUGACACCAGUGUUGUUUUUCUGAAAAUCAAUUAAAGAACUGUUUAUGCUAGGCUGUUUAGACUUUAUCAGCUAUACUGUUUAGUUUUGAGCUUUUCUUUAAUGCACUUUUCAGUUAACAAGUCAACAUCAAUUUCUUUUGCUGUAAAAAAACUUGAGGAAGGUGGCUUGAGAUUCGUCUUAAGUGUUUAUAGCCUCUUGCCUAUGCAGUCGGAGAGAUUGAGGUCUGCAGCGUAGAUCCUUCGGGGCUAAAUGCAUUUGUGCUAAGUUAUAGCAUUUUAUAGACAACUUGUUGACUAUGAUUUGUCUUGUAGCUUACUCGCUUAUGUUAUUUUACCUACGCUUAGGAUGUUGACACACGCGCGUGCUCG